AUGAGACUCCCCAGAUACGUA
rnacentral:miRNA from 1 species